UUUUCCGGCGGAAUCGGUGGCUUUCUCCGGUGGAUUUGCUAUGAAAAAUCCUUGGGAUGAUGAACUGUGACUGCACGAAAGGGCUGUAAGUAUAAAUUACUUACUGAGGGUAGUACUGGAUUUCAAUAAUGUUGUGUUUAUGUUUUAUUUUAAUUGGAUGCGUGUGAUUGAUCAUUGCAUACAUUUAAUAAUUAACCUAUUAAUAUUGGUUGCUACCGUCUUCCAAAGGUUCAGGAUGGGAAUAGUGCCUGGAACCGAAAACCCAAUAAUUCAUAUUGAUUGCUACUGCCUUUCAAAGUGCUAGUGGAGUGAUGUGGGACGUACUCUGCUAGGGCGGAAACCAUGCUAAUAAAAUGUAAUGUAGAGGGUACGGCCUCGAGAUAUACGCUGACCGGGAUUACGGCCCUUAUAUGAGUGGAGUGUCAUGACUAUAUUAAACUGUUAAACUUUGCAUGAAAACUAUUACUACAUCAUUAUGUCAUAUCUCUGUUCCUUAAAUAACGCAUAAAUCAUGAUGUUGUUGAAUGACAGUUAGCUCACUUAUGGAACUAUGGGAUUGUGGCGGUAACCACCUUCUCAUAGAUGUUUGCGCAGGUUCUGAAGAUUAUGGAUUGGAUUAAUUGCUAGCUUAAGAGAUUUAAAGUUGUGUAGUUAGGAUUUUAGUACUUUGUACUCAUAAAUGUUUGUACUAUUUGCGUGUAACAUGUUUAGACAUUUACUUGUAUUUAUUAAGUUCCAUGUAUGCUUUAGUGUCAUAUGUGACACAUGUUUCUUUGUAAAUAGUGUAAAGACUUUUAAUGUAUUUCUAGAGGAUGUCAGUUAAAGCUCUAAAUGUAUUGUAAGGGAAUUGUCCCUAAUGUUUGAAAAAAAAAAAGAUAUUCGUA